rnacentral:rRNA from 1 species
UACGUAGGGUGCGAGCGUUGUCCGGAAUUAUUGGGCGUAAAGGGCUCGUAGGCGGUUUGUCGCGUCGGGAGUGAAAACCUCGGGCUUAACUCGGGGCUUGCUUUCGAUACGGGCAGACUGGAGGUAUGCAGGGGAGAACGGAAUUCCUGGUGUAGCGGUGAAAUGCGCAGAUAUCAGGAAGAACACCAACGGCGAAGGCAGCUCGCUGGGACGGUACUGACGCUGAGACGCGAAAAGCGUGGGGGAGCGAACAGGG